rnacentral:rRNA from 1 species
ACGCUCGACACCUACGGAGGCAGCAGUGGGGAAUAUUGCACAAUGGGGGAAACCCUGAUGCAGCGACGCCGCGUGAGCGAAGAAGUAUUUCGGUAUGUAAAGCUCUAUCAGCAGGGAAGAAACUGACGGUACCUGACUAAGAAGCACCGGCUAAAUACGUGCCAGCAGCCGCGGUAAUCUGAGGCGGGCUGGACAAGGC